rnacentral:lncRNA from 1 species
AAAAAUGAGAAUGUGGAGUACUAUUCAAUAAUUAAAUGAUUGGAAGGAAUACAUUCUUAAUAUAUGAGUUUCGAAUGUUUUAAACAAAAAAUUUCUAUUAUUUUAUGUGUUACUCUAUUAUUUUAUGUGCAAUCAAAUCAUGAAUAAAUUGAGUAUUAUUACCCACAAUAAACCAAAUUUUGGCAAACUCUUCUCAUAUAUUUCACAUCCAUAUGUACUUCUUUUUUAGAAAAAAAAUUUAAAAAUAAAAUAAAUAGGAAAUUAGGGCACGUUUGUGUGUUAUAAAAAUAUCAAUAAAAAGGAUAAAAAAAAUUCACAUCUAUGUAUAUUAUGAAAUAAAAAAAUUAUGAAGCUAAUGAUCAAGGUUAACUAACUUUGGAUAAAACCUAGCCGCUCACAUUAGUCGUCGGGAAAAAAC